UACAGAGGUCCCAAGCGUUGUUCGGAUUCAUUGGGCGUAAAGGGUGCGUAGGUGGCGCCGUAAGUCAGGUGUGAAAUCUCGGGGCUUAACUCCGAAACUGCAUUUGAUACUGCGGUGCUUGAGGACUGGAGAGGAGACUGGAAUUUACGGUGUAGCGGUGAAAUGCGUAGAUAUCGUAAGGAAGACCAGGGGCGAAGGCGGGUCUCUGGACAGUUCCUGACACUGAGGCACGAAGGCCAGGGGAGCAAACGGG
rnacentral:rRNA from 1 species